UCCUCAAUAGCUCAGCCGGUAGAGCAUGCGGCUGUUAACCGCAGGGUCGUUGGUUCGAGUCCAACUUGGGGAG
rfam:Papillibacter cinnamivorans DSM 12816 genome assembly, contig: EJ70DRAFT_scaffold00014.14